UUUUGAGAACCACAAUAACGGAGUUUGGUGCCCUGAUGUACACGGCAAAAAUGCUCUGGUACAUAAUGCAUUUGUUCUGUCCGGGCUUUUUAUAGAAUCUUCAUUAAAUGACCAACAUCUCUGCAUCUAUAAUGCAAACUUGCAAGUGUUUUGUAGUCUACUGCUUGAUGUGCAUGUUAAUGCUUUGACUUGGACCUGUCUUUAAUCUAGCCUUUUUAGUUCCAGCCCUUCAGUAAAAGUCUGUAAAUAACUGUAGUGAAUGUUACUUGACUGUAUAUUGUUUACUUCAAUGUAAAUACUGGUGAUCAGUGUUCAAUAAAUAGUUUUAUAUUCUCAAAAAAAAAAAAAAA